rnacentral:rRNA from 1 species
UACGAAGGGGGCUAGCGUUGUUCGGAAUCACUGGGCGUAAAGGGUGCGUAGGCGGAUUCUUAAGUCAGGGGUGAAAUCCCGAGGCUCAACCUCGGAACUGCCUUUGAUACUGGGGAUCUUGAGUCCGGAAGAGGUGAGUGGAACUGCGAGUGUAGAGGUGAAAUUCGUAGAUAUUCGCAAGAACACCAGUGGCGAAGGCGGCUGACUGGUCCGGUUCUGACGCUGAGGCGCGAAAGCGUGGGGAGCAAACAGG